GCGGAGCACCCGGCAAUGGCGGCCUCCACGGCCUCGCAACGGCCCCUCAAGGGGAUCCUGAAGGACAACACCUCUACGACUUCCUCUAUGGUGGCGUCGGCCGAACAUCCCCGUGGGAGUGUCCACGAGCAGCUGAGCAAAAAAUCCCAGAAGUGGGAUGAAAUGAACAUCCUGGCGACAUAUCGUCCAGCAGACAAAGACUAUGGUUUAAUGAAAAUAGAUGAACCAAGCACUCCUUACCAUAGUACGAUGGGUGAUGAUGAAGAUGCAUGUAGUGAUACAGAAACCACUGAAGCUAUGGCAACAGAUAGCUUGCUAAGAACUUAGCUGCUGCUGAAGGCUUGGAGCCAAAGUAUCAGGUUCAGGAACAAGAAAGCAGUGGAGAGGAGGAUAGUGACCUCUCACCUGAAGAACGAGAAAAAAAGCGACAAUUUGAAAUGAGAAGGACGCUUCACUACAAUGAAGGACUCAAUAUCAAACUAGCUAGACAAUUAAUUUCAAAAGACCUACACGAUGAUGACAAAGUUGAAGAAAUGUUAGAGACUGCACAUGGAGAAAGCAUGAAUACGGAAGAAUCAAAUCAAGGAUCUACUGCAAGUGACCAACAGCAAAAUAAAUCACGAAGUUCAUAGAAGGGAUUUGUUCAACACUCUUAUUGUUUGUUAGAUAUGAACCCC
ensembl:lncRNA novel transcript